rnacentral:rRNA from 1 species
UACGGGGGGGGCAAGCGUUGUUCGGAAUUACUGGGCGUAAAGGGCGCGUAGGCGGCCUGCUAAGUCGGAUGUGAAAUCCCUCGGCUCAACCGAGGAACUGCAUCCGAUACUGGCGGGCUUGAAUCCGGGAGAGGGAUGUGGAAUUCCAGGUGUAGCGGUGAAAUGCGUAGAUAUCUGGAGGAACACCGGUGGCGAAGGCGGCAUCCUGGACCGAUAUUGACGCUGAGGCGCGAAAGCCAGGGGAGCAAACGGG